GCCAGCAUGGCGUACUGGUUUGAGCAUUGGAUUAUGACUCUGGAGGCCAGGGUUCGAAUCCCGGCUUGGCC
rnacentral:tRNA from 1 species